rnacentral:rRNA from 1 species
GACGAACGCUGGCGGCGUGCCUAAUACAUGCAAGUAGGACGCAGUUGCGAACGGGUGAUUAACGCGUCGGUCACUACCUAUUAGAGGGGGAUAACAAUUGGAAACGAUAGCUAAUACCGCAUACUAGUGGAUGUACCUGCUUUGGCUUAGCUAGUAGGUAGGGUAAUGGCCUACCUAGGCAACGAUACAUAGCCGGGCUGGGAAGGGGAUCCGGCCACCUGGGAAUGAGAAACGGCCCAGACUCCUACGGGGGGCAGCAGGAGGGGAUCUGCGGCAAUGGGGGGAAAGCUUACCGGGCAAAGCCGGGGGAGUUAAGAAGGUGUUCGGAGCGUAAAGCUCUUUUGUUAAGGAAGCGGUACUUAAACAGAAAGCGACGGCUAACUACGUGCCAGCAGCCGCGGUAAUAC